rnacentral:lncRNA from 1 species
AUCUACACUGAAGAUACAGGUAUGAUUUAUAUCACAAAAAAAUAUACCAACAUUCCAUGUGGCAUCUGUCAGCCAACGCAGAGGCAAUAGAGGAAUUUGUGUGUGUGUGUGAGAUUAAAAAGGAUGUUGAAUAAUUAGUAUUCUAAUUUAUAACAUAUCACGCUGUUGUGCUGCUUCUUUUUAAGCCUAUUUUUAAAAUCAUCUCAUGAUACAUUUGACUUUCUCUCUUCAUGAACUUAAAGAAAUCUCUUUAAGUGAUUUAUGAUAACCUAAGAUUGGUUAUGAAACACUAUUCAAUUUUACAGAAUAAUUAGCUUUCGAAUUCUUAGACAAGAUAUAUUCUGAAAUAUAUCCAAAUCGCCAGACUUUAAAAGGUCAUUAACAAAUCCAAUGAAUGAGGGCAUAGUAAUGCAUUUAGAGAUCAAAAAUGGAGCAAGAAUUCAAGUAUAUAUUCAGCUUUCUGAAACCCCCUCUGUCUGCUCUAUCAACAAUCACCAAAAGGAGACUGAACAGGAACUGCCUAUCCAAUUCCUACACUGAGCACAAAACAAGGAUAAUAGCAAAAGAAGAGCGAAAUAAAUCCAAAUCA